rnacentral:rRNA from 1 species
GACGAACGCUGGCGGCGUGCCUAAUACAUGCAAGUUGAGCGCUGAAGGUUGGUACUUGUACCAACUGGAUGAGCAGCGAACGGGUGAGUAACGCGUGGGGAAUCUGCCUUUGAGCGGGGGACAACAUUUGGAAACGAAUGCUAAUACCGCAUAAAAACUUUAAACACAAGUUUUAAGUUUGAAAGAUGCAAUUGCAUCACUCAAAGAUGAUCCCGCGUUGUAUUAGCUAGUUGGUGAGGUAAAGGCUCACCAAGGCGAUGAUACAUAGCCGAACUGAGAGGGUGAUCGGCCCCAAUGGGAAUGAGACACGGCCCAAACUCCUACGGGAGGCAGCAGUAGGGAAUCUUCGGCAAUGGACGAAAGUCUGACCGAGCAACGCCGCAGGAGUGAAGAAGGUUUUCGGAUCGUAAAACUCUGUUGGUAGAGAAGAACGUUGGUGAGAGUGGAAAGCUCAUCAAGUGACGGUAACUACCCAGAAAGGGACGGCUAACUACGUG